rnacentral:rRNA from 1 species
GACGAACGCUGACGGUGUGCUUUAGACAUGCAAGUCGAACGAGAAAGCCCUUCGGGGUUAGUAAAGUAGGCGAACGGGUGAGUAACACGUGGGCAAUCUGCCCCUCCGCAGGGGGGACAACCGGAGGAAACUCCGGCUAAUACCCCGUAAGUUCAAAGGGAGGCAUCUCUCUUCGAAGAAAGGUAGCUUCGGCCAUCCGGCGAGGGAUGAGCCCGCGGUGCAUUAGCUAGUUGGGUGGGGUAACGGCCUACCAAGGCGACGAUGCAUAGCUGGUCUGAGGGGAUGAUCAGCCACACUGGGACUGAGACACGGCCCAGACUCCUACGGGAGGGCAGCAGUCGGGAAUCUUGCGCAAUGGGCGAAAGCCUGACGCAGCAACACCGUGUGUGUGAGGAAGGCCC